GGAUGUUUCUGAGGAUGUGGUAAGUGAGGUAUUCACCUGAUGACCAUCCCAUGACUGUCAGGCUUGUUUUCUAGCUACUUUUUGGAAUCUUCAUUCUUAGAAAAUCCUUUGUUAUGAAAUAUGCUCAGGACUGGAAAGGAAACGAGGUUCAGUCAGCAAUACCCUCAGUGUGAACUCUGGAAUAGCAUUUCCUUUUGAAAGAUUCAUCCUCAUUUUGCUCCUGGCUUCGUGCUGGUGUGUGAUGACUGUGUUUCCUGGGGAUUUCCAACCUGAGCAGUCAUCAGCCCAGGCCCAAGGACAGAGGACACCCACCCUGAGGACAGAGAUGGCUGUAUUGCUUGCAUGACAACUUCUGUCCCACAGUGGAAGACAAAGGGAGUCAAGAGGCUGUGCUUGUGUGACCCUGGCUCCUGAAGUUCUUCUGCGGCAUCGUGAUGAUUUUCUUAUGAUGGCUCCCCCACCGGACAGCUGUCUGGGCUCUUCAAAGACACCCCCAACACCUCCACCUCGCAUGACCCCCAUUGCUAGCUGUUAAGUGAAUGCAUGAAUGUACAUGUGAAUGACCUCUGAACUUUGAUCCCAGGCCAGGGUGAGCUUCAGGUACAGGGAGAGAAGACAGCUGCCUCUGUGGUGUGAUCUGGGGGCUUCAGGAAGUUUCUUCACUCUGGUGCCCUUCCUUGGGUCUUCCUUUUCUUUCCAUUUUAUUGAGAUACACUUAAGACACAGCAAUGUAAGUGAAGAGGCCUAGAACCUAGAACCUACUGGUGUCUCAGCAAAUGGCUACACAGAACCAAGGUCCAGGAGAAUCGGCUCCCAGGGUUUCUAGAGCACACGGCAGUUUCAGGCAGCUGCCAGCCUGGGGUCUUCCCCACCCAGAGUUUCUGAAGGCUGCAUUUCGGUGGCCUCAGAGCUGAGAGGAAAGGAGCCAGGGACAGGGAGGGGUGGGGAGGAAGGCUUGUCUGUCCCAGUGAAGCCCCGUCCACCAAGGCCAGCUCCACUUCUGUUCUCACUGCCCAGCCUCCCAAGGACAAUGAAGGGGCUGCGCUGUGGGGAGAAGGGUGACUUGUCUCCUUUCCCAGCCAUCAAAUGAGGAAGCAGGGUCCACACCCUAACUCUCAGCCUCAAGGGAGUACAGGAUGUCCUAACACGUCCUGUAGAACGACUUAGUAAUUUUCCAGUUACUAAUUUGCCUUACCUGUUCUGUUCAAACAGGCUAAUUGUUUCCUCAAAAAGACUCAAGUGUAGUGGGAUGAGGUCACCAGAGACAUGCCUAAACAAUUACAAACUCUGGUCGUGGGCGCGCCAAGAGACUGGUAACCAGCUCCUCAGACAAUGUUGGUCUGAUGUUAUCUUUUCUAAAGCAAAUUCGGUGAGGAUGCGCCUCCUGGUGGUAAGAUGCGAUUCUGCCAGGCAGGAAGACUCCUUCCCCAAAGUGAUUCCUUCCCUGGAUAGGAGAACAACUGGGCGUAGGUGCUGCAUUUGGAACGUUCUCUGUAAAGAACAUUACUGUUAUUUCUCAGUAACUAUUUAUUGAUUGAAAUAUGAAAUAAAUGUGAUUAAUAUAAUCCAUUCAUAAUUGUGAUCUCGGAAGGUGUGAAUUUUAAUCAAAGCAAAAAAUCUGCCAAGGCAGAAAACAGGGAAAAUUGAUCUCUGGUCUGAUAAGGAAAGAGGAUAUAAUUUUGAAAACUUCCAUAUACUUUCUGGCUUUUAUAUUGUGGGUAUUAUAUUCUCUAUUGACUUAGAACAAUUCCAUUUUUUUAUUACAAAAAAAUUCAAAUAUACCAAAAAAUAGAACAGUAAAUCCCCAUAUAGUCACUACCCAGUUUCCAGAGCUGUCAUGAUUUUGUCAUGCUCACUUUUUAUGACCCAUUAAAUGUUUUUAGUUGCUUUUCACCCUUAGAUAAUAUAGCCCCGACAUCAUGUUACAUUACCAUAAAUAUUUCAGUAUGCAUUUCUUUUUUUUCCCCUAAGAUUUUAUUUAUUUGUCAGAGAGAAAGAGAGAGA